rfam:Triticum aestivum genome assembly, contig: Triticum_aestivum_CS42_TGACv1_scaffold_113705_2AS
UAUGUACUCCCUCCGUUCCUAAAUACAAGUCUUUAGAGGUUUGAAUAUGGACUACAUACGGAUAAAUAUAGACAUAUUUUAUAGUGUAGAUUCACUCAUUUUGCUUCGUAUGUAGUCCAUAUUAGAAUCUCUAAAAUGACUUGUAUUUAGGAACGGAGGGAGUAGAAA